rnacentral:lncRNA from 1 species
GGGUUUAGGGUUAAGGGGUUUAGGGUUUAGAGCUUGGGGUUUAGGGUCUGGGGUUUGGGGUUUAGGGUUUUAGGGUUUAGGGUUUAAGUUUUAGGAUUUAGGUUUUACAUUUUAGGGUUUAGGGGUUUAGGGUUUAGGGUUUAGGGUUUAGGGUUUAGGAUUUAAGGGUUUAGGGUUUAGGGUUUAGGGUUUAGGGUUUUAGGGUUUACGGUUUAGGGUUUAGGGUUCAGGGUUUAGGGGUUUAGGGUUUUUAGGGUUUAGGGUUUAGGGUUU